rnacentral:rRNA from 1 species
UACGGAGGGGGCUAGCGUUGUUCGGAAUUACUGGGCGUAAAGCGCACGUAGGUGGCUUUGCAAGUCAGAGGUGAAAGCCCGGGGCUCAACCCCGGAAUUGCCUUUGAGACUGCAUCGCUAGAAGGUCGGAGAGGUAAGUGGAAUUCCGAGUGUAGAGGUGAAAUUCGUAGAUAUUCGGAAGAACACCAGUGGCGAAGGCGACUUACUGGACGACUCUUGACACUGAGGUGCGAAAGCGUGGGGAGCAAACAGG